AACAAUUUCCUUCAGAUAUUGGCUUAGCCUUGAGGUGUCAACUUUAUGUCUCAGAAAUGCCAUUCUUCUGUGAGUAAUUGGUUUUCAUCAUGGCUUAUGCCUUUUUCAAUUACAUCAAAUCUGUGUAAAAUCAUUGACAUUUCAAUUUUACACUCACACACUCAACACCUCCAAAUUUAUGUUUUUCACUUGCGCGCCAUAAGAAGUUCUGGUUCUUUUGAAAUUCAUCUAGUGCCUAUAUAUACAUGAAUUUAUGCAAGCAAGACUAGUCAACUUUGUUAGCCAAUUAACUAAAUUAAUCUCUGCUUAGUUUCUCAAGAAUCUGAGCAGUCUUUUUCCAUUGGAAAUAAGGAAGUCCUCAAGCCCCAUGGCAAAGUACUGUUGCUCAGUGAGAGCGAAUUUCUCAUAAUAAACUUUCUUGAUUAGGAAACUCCUGAACAUGUCACAUUGAUCAGUUGUGUGCAAAUCUGUUAAGUGCCAUCUACAGAAGCUCUCCAGUCCAUCUUUGUAUAUAGGAAACUCCAGGACACCAGAGCUGGCCAUGUCGUUGAACAGAUCAAUAGCAGCAGUAGUUUUCCAGGUACUAUUUGCCAGAUUUAACAACAUUGGUUUAUGCUCACGGAUGUAGUCUCUUGAUCUUAAAUCAGCCUGUCGGACAGGCUCUGGUAAAUGAUACUGGCGAGUUAUUUUGGCAAUUCUGAUGGCAGUAUCUAGUGAUACACGGUGACCAAUUGAAAUAUAUAUAGGAUCUUGUGAGCCUCUAGGUGGUCUCAUUGCGGCUCCCAAUAUGCGCCCCGAGUCUCCCACCAAUUUAACAAAAUCUUCACCGCUUCUUCUUCCAGCUUGAAGAAGCCUUAUCACUUCCUCUUCAUUAAGACCAUCCACAUAAUGCAGAUUCUUUCCAACUCCAAUGGUGGGAAGAUUAGCCUGAACGCCCAGAUGACAAGCCAAACCAAAACCUAUAUAAGAAUUAUUUUAUAGUUUAACAGAUUUUCCAGAAGAUAAUAUGCAGGAAAAAAAGGUUACCAUAAUGCAGAACAGAACAGGUUAAAAUGUAAAAUUAUAAAUGCAUUCCAUCAUUCUACCCUCAAAAGCAAGUUAAACAAAAUGAUCACUCUUAUAUUUGUUAUUGCUUGCUCGCAUAUCCUCAUACUUACAAAUUGUUCUCCCCAUUUAAUAAAUCAAGUAAACAAUCUACAGUUAUUGAAUUGCAAUCUAGUUUGAACAUAAAAGCUAACCUUCUCACAGGAACAAAAUUCGUGGAAAUUAUUAUAAAUAAAUAAACAAAAAAGAAAUUAAUUGGUUCCAUGGAGAUGUGUACCAAAGGAGACUUGCCUCGAGGAUGAAGCAUUCCAUUGCCAUCAACCAUUAUCACCUGUGGGUAGUAAGGAUUUUGGCUGUUCUUCAUCUUCUCAAUAAGUGGUAAAAGUAUUGGAACCUAAAAUGAGGGAAGGAGGAUGAAAAUCAUAAAGGGUAUAAGAAAAACUUCUUCUCAAUGUGAAUGAAGAAUUGGGAACCUCUCUGAAGGCAAGAAAGCCGGCGAUAUAAGGGACUCGGAGACGGACAAGAGAGUAAUCCUGGUAAACAAUUUGGAAAGUUUGAAGGUCCAAAACAACGAGAAUCCCACAGGCAAUAGAAGGGUCUUCCUUCAAGAAGCUCACAUCAACUCCACCCACAUACCUCAACACCACCUGAUGACCAUGUCUUUCAACACUGGAUCUGUUUCUUGAUGAUGUGGGUAGUUGCCAUUCGAAAUCAUCCUCGUCGAUCAGUCUCUUUUUAAGCGAAUGCUGAGUCUCUAGCCAACUGGGCAUCUUCGAUGUUGAUGAUUCUCCUCCACGCUACUUAUAUUACCUGAUCUAGUAGAGUAGUUUUAACAAAUCAAUGGUUUUGUGAAACUGCAAAUUCUGGGCUCUGUCAAUUGUACGCACAAAAAUGUCACUGUGUUGACCUAAGACUUUCUACCUAUUGG
rnacentral:misc_RNA from 1 species